rnacentral:rRNA from 1 species
GACGAACGCUGGCGGCGUGCUUAACACAUGCAAGUCGAACGGAAAGGCCCUGCUUUUGUGGGGUGCUCGAGUGGCGAACGGGUGAGUAACACGUGAGUAACCUGCCCUCGACUUUGGGAUAACGCCAGGAAACGGGGGCUAAUACCGGAUAGGAGCUCCUGCUGCAUGGGGGGGGGGGGAAAGGUGCGGCGGUGGGGGAGGGACGGGCGGCUUAUCAGCUUGUUGGUGGGGUAGUGGCUUACCAAGGCGUUGACGGGUAGCCGGCCGGCGGGGGUGACCGGCCACAUUGGGCCUGAGAUACGGCCCAGACUCCUACGGGAGGCAGCAGUGCGGAAUAUUGCACCAUGGUCCGAAGCCUGAUGCAGCAACGCCGCGUGCGGGAUGACGGCCUUCGGGUUGUAACCCGCUUUCGCCUGUGCCGAAGCGUGAGUGACGGUAGUGGGUAAAGAAGCACCGGCUAACUACGUG